UACGAAGGGUGCAAGCGUUAAUCGGAAUUACUGGGCGUAAAGGGUGCGUAGGCGGUUGUUUAAGUCUGUCGUGAAAUCCCCGGGCUCAACCUGGGAAUGGCGAUGGAUACUGGGCAGCUAGAGUGUGUCAGAGGAUGGUGGAAUUCCCGGUGUAGCGGUGAAAUGCGUAGAGAUCGGGAGGAACAUCAGUGGCGAAGGCGGCCAUCUGGACCAGCACUGACGCUGAGGCACGAAAGCGUGGGGAGCAAACAGG
rnacentral:rRNA from 1 species